rnacentral:rRNA from 1 species
UACGUAGGUGGCAAGCGUUGUCCGGAUUUACUGGGCGUAAAGAGCGCGCAGGCGGUCGUUCAAGUCGCGUGUGAAAGCCCCCGGCUCAACUGGGGAGGGUCACGCGAUACUGAUCGACUCGAAGGCAGGAGAGGGUAGUGGAAUUCCCGGUGUAGUGGUGAAAUGCGUAGAUAUCGGGAGGAACACCAGUGGCGAAGGCGACUACCUGGCCUGUUUCUUGACGCUGAGGCGCGAAAGCUAGGGGAGCGAACGGGGAUUAAGA